CGUUCCCGGGCUUGUACACACCGCCCGUCACACCACGAAAGUCGGCAAUACCCGAAGCCGGUGGCCUAACCCGCAAGGGAGGGAGCCGUCGAAGGUAGGGUUGAUGAUUGGGGUG
rnacentral:rRNA from 1 species